rnacentral:rRNA from 1 species
UACGAAGGGGGCUAGCGUUGUUCGGAUUUACUGGGCGUAAAGCGCACGUAGGCGGAUUGUUAAGUGAGAGGUGAAAUCCUGGAGCUCAACUCCAGAACUGCCUUUCAUACUGGCAAUCUAGAGUCCGGAAGAGGUAAGUGGAACUCCUAGUGUAGAGGUGGAAUUCGUAGAUAUUAGGAAGAACACCAGUGGCGAAGGCGGCUUACUGGUCCGGUACUGACGCUGAGGUGCAAAAGCGUGGGGAGCAAACAGGAUUAGAAACCCCCGGUAGU